UCUGGUGACUAUAGCGAAAGGGCCACACCCGUUCCCAUUCCGAAUACGGUCGUUAAGCCUUUCUGCGCCGAUGGUACUGCUCUGGAUAACGGAGCGGGAGAGUAGGUCGUCACCGGGG
rnacentral:rRNA from 1 species